CUACAGCAGAGUGAUUUGCGAAAGCCGCUUAAUCGCGAUAACCCGAUUUGAUAAAAGGAUGAGCAAUAUCGCGGCAUUGCUUGCCCUGAAAAUGACGAAUAACUGUUUCUCGCUUCUCGUGUUGCGCUACGUCUACUCUCCUUUUACAUUACACAAUCUUUAUUUAAUGUAUUUGAGGAAAAAAUAGAGAAAGACACACCAAAGUAACGAUCGCUCGUUUGUUCUUCACCUGAAUUAUUUCAUAGACUAUUUAUACUCUUUUGACGAUAAUGACGAAAAAAAAUCUCAACGUCGAGUCCAUGCAGCACACCCGGCACAGCACGUACCUGCCUGUUUUAUAAAUGAACAUAAACUACCUCUCGCGGAUGCGAUUAAAUCGCAGGUCAUUGGACGUUUGAUACGACGAUAAAAGGGGGACAUAUUAUUUGUGAAAGCUUCAUUAAUGUCACUAAUAAUUACUGACAUCGAUUGAAAUCUUUCUAAAAUCUCACAUUUUCGACAGAUCCAUUUAUCUCACUGAUUUGACAUUCACGAAGCGCCGGCUACAUUUCUUCAUCCAUUUAUAACCAGUUCAGACCGUUUAACAAAGUUCAUAGUAACAAUCAUCGGUCUGACAGUGGAAUGGUCAGAGUUUAAGUCUCAAUCAUACGUUUCGUAACACCUCGUUGAUGAAUGUUUUUCAAAGAAAUAAAAAGGAUCGAAGCGAGGUAGGAUAGUGGAGUGGUGGAUUGAUAAAAUGAGGUGAAAGUUCCCGAUGGUACAAUCUCGAAAUGUUCCUUGAAUAGCUCUCUGGUUGCCCGUUUUUCAACGUGAUCCAGCCCUUUUCUACCUUUCAGGGAAACAUCUACGGCUUACUUCGACAUUUUUUUCCUUCGUCAUUCCCUCGUGAGCUUCGUUUUUUCAGCUGGGACUGUCUACCAACAAAAAUGUGGCUUUGGAGGGUUGUUAGAGCCAGACACCGAUCUCUCCCCUUUAUUACUGCAUGUCUGAGAAAAGAGAAUUUCACAAAUGAUCAAAAACUUUCGGAUCAUCCGUUCGUCAAAGAUUCGUCACUCCAAUCCAGUCCGCUUUUCUCAACGAGGUUCGAACAGCCAUAGGUAAAUAGACGAUUGCACAGAGGAAGAUAAAUGGUGAAUGAGCCCACGCCACAAUUCUGAGAUAUUUGCCCGUUCCGGUUCGUGUAAGCAUAUACACACUCGGGUUUAAUAUGGAAGUUUGUUCAGGCAUAGUAUCGCGUGAAUGCCCGGUUGUUUCCAUUUUGAUAGAUUUAACCUGAUCAAUAAACUAAGUCCCACAUAGUUGAGAAUCAAUAUAGAGAAAGGGAAAGGGUAUUAUCCUGCAUCAUGAUUUUAUACUCCAAUUUGUGCACAAGCCACGUUCACAACGCAUGCACGCCCCCCGGUUUUAUCUAUUUCCAUUUGGAAUUUGAUUGUCUGUUUUAUCGAAGCUGCUAUGAGAAUAUCGAGACGUAUACAUGCCUGUAUUGACAUAAAAUGGUUACAAUCCAUGCUCACCAGCUGCGUAUACGUCAACUGGUUACGGAUGAGGUUGAAAGCUUUGCUGAACGCGACAAGAACAUUGUAUACUGGGACGAUACAUGGAAGCCCACGCGAAAGAGGGAAGCAGGAGGAACGAGGGGAAGGAGACAGGGAAAGAGAGCGGGCGAGAGACAGAGAGAAGGAAGAAGAAAAGCCGAGAUGCUUUUAAUACCGAUGCACUUUAACGUCGUGAUCGUAAAGACUCUUGAAUAUGAUUUAUGCUUCGUGAAGCAGAGAUAAAAGUUUUCACUCAAGAUUUGAAGCUCGAAAACUUGGACUGUAUCCUCUGGAACGAGCGCUACUUUCCUCUCCAUCCUUUUCAUUUUGUGCCACAUUUCGAGUGAAAGUUGAGCAUUUUUUGGCAUCACAAUUAUGCUCGAGUCGAGGUGAAAAAAAAAAAGUGUCUGAAAAGGUAGAAUCUCAACACCUUUCCGUAGCUCGAAGUCUCUCUCGAAGCGAAGAACGAAAAUGUAAAUAAAAAAGAGCACUACUCAUAUCCAGGAAAAAAAAGGGAAUCCGAACGAGAUGUCGAAACUUGUGCAAUAUUUUUGUGAACGAAACACAGAUUGAUCGCUCAGAGAAUCCAAUCGAAGAGGAAAAAGUCUGCAACUAUCCAUGAAUUUAUGGAUCAGUCCAAAAGGUUUAUUUGAAAAGAUAAAUCCGAGGAAUUUGCACGUUGAGCCUGGAAUAUCUCGUAUGAAGAUUGGACGGGAGAUAAAACAUAUAUAGAUGCGACAGUUGAUGCUUGGUGCGCUGCGAGUUGGCCCAAAGCUCCUCCAUAGAAACUACGAUUACGACUGGAGAGUGUAAAUUACCGUGAAACCGGUGAAACCACGAUCACAAACACUCCCAAAUGUAUAUAUAAUUAUGUAUGUGAUAACUGUGGCUGACAGAUGGAACAACUUAUCGUUACUGGCCUAUCAACAUUGAAAAUCAGCAAAAGUUCAUAAAUAUUGUAUUAUGGCUUAUUUUUUCCUCGGUUAUUUCUACACUAAGAAAAAAAAAAGCCAAUUGGAACUACGAAAUAUGGCAUGACGGGGUGGCAAUGAAAUUUAUGAUCAUCACAAGGUUAAAUACACGAUUAAACGAACAAAAGAGUUUUAGAUCAAA